UGCAGUCGAACGAACUUCCGUUAAUUGAUUAUGACGUACUUGUACUGAUUGAGAUUUUAACACGAAGUGAGUGGCGAACGGGUGAGUAACACGUGGGUAACCUGCCCAGAAGUAGGGGAUAACACCUGGAAACAGAUGCUAAUACCGUAUAACAGAGAAAACCGCAUGGUUUUCUUUUAAAAGAUGGCUCUGCUAUCACUUCUGGAUGGACCCGCGGCGUAUUAGCUAGUUGGUGAGGUAAAGGCUCACCAAGGCAGUGAUACGUAGCCGACCUGAGAGGGUAAUCGGCCACAUUGGGACUGAGACACGGCCCAGACUCCUACGGGAGGCAGCAGUAGGGAAUCUUCCACAAUGGACGCAAGUCUGAUGGAGCAACGCCGCGUGAGUGAAGAAGGGUUUCGGCUCGUAAAGCUCUGUUGUUAAAGAAGAACGUGGGUAAGAGUAACUGUUUACCCAGUGACGGUAUUUAACCAGAAAGCCACGGCUAACUACGUGCCAGCAGCCGCGGUAAUACGUAGGUGGCAAGCGUUAUCCGGAUUUAUUGGGCGUAAAGCGAGCGCAGGCGGUCUUUUAAGUCUAAUGUGAAAGCCUUCGGCUCAACCGAAGAAGUGCAUUGGAAACUGGGAGACUUGAGUGCAGAAGAGGACAGUGGAACUCCAUGUGUAGCGGUGAAAUGCGUAGAUAUAUGGAAGAACACCAGUGGCGAAGGCGRCUGUCUGGUCUGCAACUGACGCUGAGGCUCGAAAGCAUGGGUAGCGAACAGGAUUAGAUACCCUGGUAGUCCAUGCCGUAAACGAUGAUUACUAAGUGUUGGAGGGUUUCCGCCCUUCAGUGCUGCAGCUAACGCAUUAAGUAAUCCGCCUGGGGAGUACGACCGCAAGGUUGAAACUCAAAAGAAUUGACGGGGGCCCGCACAAGCGGUGGAGCAUGUGGUUUAAUUCGAAGCUACGCGAAGAACCUUACCAGGUCUUGACAUCUUCUGACAGUCUAAGAGAUUAGAGGUUCCCUUCGGGGACAGAAUGACAGGUGGUGCAUGGUUGUCGUCAGCUCGUGUCGUGAGAUGUUGGGUUAAGUCCCGCAACGAGCGCAACCCUUAUUACUAGUUGCCAGCAUUAAGUUGGGCACUCUAGUGAGACUGCCGGUGACAAACCGGAGGAAGGUGGGGACGACGUCAAAUCAUCAUGCCCCUUAUGACCUGGGCUACACACGUGCUACAAUGGAUGGUACAACGAGUCGCGAGACCGCGAGGUUAAGCUAAUCUCUUAAAACCAUUCUCAGUUCGGACUGUAGGCUGCAACUCGCCUACACGAAGUCGGAAUCGCUAGUAAUCGCGGAUCAGCAUGCCGCGGUGAAUACGUUCCCGGGCCUUGUACACACCGCCCGUCACACCAUGAGAGUUUGUAACACCCAAAGCCGGU
rnacentral:rRNA from 1 species